AUUGAACGCUGGCGGAAUGCUUUACACAUGCAAGUCGAACGGCAGCACGGACUUCGGUCUGGUGGCGAGUGGCGAACGGGUGAGUAAUACAUCGGAACGUGCCCAAUCGUGGGGGAUAACGUAGCGAAAGCUACGCUAAUACCGCAUACGAUCUAAGGAUGAAAGCGGGGGAUCGCAAGACCUCGCGCGAUUGGAGCGGCCGAUGGCAGAUUAGGUAGUUGGUAGGGUAAAGGCCGACCAAGCCGACGAUCUGUAGCUGGUCUGAGAGGAUGAUCAGCCACACUGGAACUGCGACACGGCCCAGACUCCUACGGGAGGCAGCAGUGGGGAAUUUUGGACAAUGGGCGCAAGUCUGAUUCAGCCAUUCCGCGUGCAGGAUGAAGGCCCUCGGGUUGUAAACUGCUUUUGUACAGAACGAAAAGGCUCUGGUUAAUACCUAGGGCUCAUGACGGUACUGUAAGAAUAAGCACCGGCUAACUACGUGCCAGCCGCCGCCAUAA
rnacentral:rRNA from 1 species